GGCGGAGCUGGAUCUGCUGGGCUCCAUCCUGAGUUCCAUGGAGCGGCCGCCCGCCGCAGCCGAUGGGGAGACGCGGCGCCGGGCGCGGGAACAAGCUGCUCGCAUGAAGAAGCUGCAGGAGCAAGACAAGCGCCAGAAGGUCGAGUUCAG